rnacentral:rRNA from 1 species
UGGGGAAUUUUGGACAAUGGGCGAAAGCCUGAUCCAGCAAUGCCGCGUGUGUGAAGAAGGCCUUCGGGUUGUAAAGCACUUUUGUCCGGAAAGAAAUCCUUGGCUCUAAUACAGUCGGGGGAUGACGGUACCGGAAGAAUAAGCACCGGCUAACUACGUGCCAGCAGCCGCGGUAAUACGUAGGGUGCAAGCGUUAAUCGGAAUUACUGGGCGUAAAGCGUGCGCAGGCGGUUUGCUAAGACCGAUGUGAAAUCCCCGGGCUCAACCUGGGAACUGCAUUGGUGACUGGCAGGCUAGAGUAUGGCAGAGGGGGGUAGAAUUCCACGUGUAGCAGUGAAAUGCGUAGAGAUGUGGAGGAAUACCGAUGGCGAAGGCAGCCCCCUGGGCCAAUACUGACGCUCAUGCACGAAAGCGUGGGGAGCAAACAGGAUUAGAUACCCUGGUAGUCCACGCCCUAAACGAUGUCAACUAGUUGUUGGGGAUUCAUUUCCUUAGUAACGUAGCUAACGCGUGAAGUUGACCGCCUGGGGAGUACGGUCGCAAGAUUAAAACUCAAAGGAAUUGACGGGGUCAUAGCUGUUUCCA